rnacentral:rRNA from 1 species
CCUACGGGGAGCAGCAGUCGAGAAUCAUUCACAAUGGGGGAAACCCUGAUGGUGCGACGCCGCGUGGGGGAAUGAAGGUCUUCGGAUUGUAAACCCCUGUCAUGUGGGAGCAAAUUAAAAAGAUAGUACCACAAGAGGAAGAGACGGCUAACUCUGUGCCAGCAGCCGCGGUAAUACAGAGGUCUCAAGCGUUGUUCGGAAUCACUGGGCGUAAGGCGUGCGUAGGCUGUUUCGUAAGUCGUGUGUGAAAGGCGCGGGCUCAACCCGCGGACGGCACAUGAUACUGCGAGACUAGAGUAAUGGAGGGGGAACCGGAAUGCUCGGUGUAGCAGUGAAAUGCGUAGAGAUCGAGAGGAACACUCGUGGCGAAGGCGGGUUCCUGGACAUUAACUGACGCUGAGGCACGAAGGCCAGGGGAGCGAAAGGGAUUAGAUACCCCGGUAGUC